rnacentral:lncRNA from 1 species
CUCUGUCUAGGAAUUUUACUGCUUAUCAGGACCCCUAAACUGUGCCUUAGAACCUGGAAGGUAGGGGAGAGGGGUCAAUACAAUUGUAUUGGUACGCAGAGCAAUCCAAAAUAAUGAAUUUAUACAUAUAUAACAUAGGUGAGAGCAAGUCAUAAAAACAUUAUGCAUGAAAUAGUUUAAAAUACAUGGGCCAUGUCAAAAGAUAUUAAAACAAUCUUGUUAAUGCAAUUUCAUUCUUUGUAUUACUUCUGAGCUAGGUGGUACACCCUAUAUGUCUGAAAGUUUCCCACGGCAAUAUGGGAUCCGUCAUUAACUCAACGGCCAAGCCCCUAACCCAAGUUUGCCGCAAGGGUUGAAGUAUCUGAAUCUGAUACGCCCCAGGGCACUAGGCCAGCGUAUAAUAAUAUACCCGUAUCGGCAAAACACGGUUUCAGACAAUGAAUCAUAUGACUCUGCCUUCUUCGGGUAACCACCUAACUCUCUUAGUGCGUAGUUUUAACCCAUUAUAAACAUGCAUCUUUUUGAAUUCGAAAUCUGAAAUCUAAAAUGAAAUCUGUAUUCUUUUCUGAGUUUUAUCAUGACCUUAUCUGAUUUGGUAUCGUCAUACCAAGACUUGCAAGUCAUGUUUCUGAGCCAUAAAAAUAUCAUAUCACAGACUUCUCUUUCAAAACAUAAAGUUCAGACCACCAUAUUUCAAACAGUUCAAGAAGAUUCAUUCUUCAAUACAUUUAUCAAACUAUGCAAAAAUCAUUCCUUUCAAUCAUUUCAACAAACAUGUAAUGGUCAUAAAUUUCAACAACCCAUGAAAUUCUUUUCAUAUAUAUAUAUAUAUAUAUAUAUAUAUAUAUAUAUUUUCAGCACUUACCAACAUGUGGUGGUCAAGUAUUUUAUAACAAACCAUGCAAUCUUUUUGAAUCACCACUUUUCAUUUAUAUUAGCAAGAAUCACCCUCUCUUUUCAAUUCAAAUCAUAAUCAAGUUAUAAACAAUAAUCAAGACAUUUGUGUCAUGCUUCUCAAAAGUGCAUUUGCAUCAAUCCAUAUCGUAUGAAAACAAUGGGAAAUCAUAGCAAGAGAGGGAUUCUAUAUUUUCAUGCUCUCAAUUAAAUCUCCAAACUCAAUUUCAUACAUACAUGUAUACAAGUACAAAUCAAUUUGGGGGAAAAGGCCUCAAGCCCAAAACAAUAAUAUCAUUAAACUAUUCAUAGUGCAAAAUUGUAAUGUAAAUUCCAAACCCCUUUGUAAAUUCAUGAUUUCUAAACUUUAAACCAUUUUCAAAGUAUUUUCAGCCAGCCCAUGUAGUUUAGGAAAACUCCACGUACCUUAGAUUUUGUAGUUAGAAAAAUGAAAUUCGAAUCUUAAUCAGUUUCUUGGAAUUCUUGAAUUUAGAGGCUUGAAUUCUUGAACUUGAAUGUUGGAGUUUAGGGUUUUGGUUGAGAGCAAUUUUGAGGACUAUAAGUAUAAAAUGCUUGUAAGAGGCUUAAAUCAGGUAUUUGGACGGAUUGGGGUUGAGUGAAACGACAAAAAUGCCCCUAAGGAAACAAACAAAGUCGCAGCUGUCCCUCAGUUGACAGGCUGAAGUAAAUGGGGCAUAACUUUUUACUUCGAUGUUGGAUUUGGACGAAAUCAGUUGCGUUGGAAAGAAGACUCAAAUACCUUUCAUUUGAUAUAUAGAAGUCCUCCCAUUUUUCUGUAUAUAAGGAUUUAUGGUCGAUGAAAGUUGACCCAAUUUGAAGUGUCCACUAAAACUUAAUCGAUAGAAUUGUUUUCAACUCGUUUUUGAGUUAGGGGAUUUAUGUGACCUCAAUUCAUAUCCAAAGAUUUUUACACACUAUAGGAGUGAUCACCACACAUAUGUUAAAAAGUAAUAAUUUAGUUCGGGUCUAUACGCAUAGGAACGAUGGUCUAAAUUCUAGCCCGAAAGUACGGGGUGUUACAUCAUCCCCCUUGGGAUCAUUCGUCCCUGAAUGAUGGGUAGGGACUUUUGAAGCUCUAAUGGUGUAGAAUAAAGAACGUAACAUCACAUUGAUUAUUUUCUCUCAAUAAAAUAUGUGAAGGCAGUAAAUGAGAUGCUUGAUAACCCCUAGGAAAACGUGUAAGCACGAAACUUGAUGUCGACAUGAUCUUGGCAUGUGUUUUAUAGCACAUGAUCAAAACAUUGUAAGACAUGAAUUUUUAUAAGAAUCCUUGGCCUGAUUAACUUUGGCACAAGACAUGAGAUGAGAUUCUCGUGGGACAUAAAAAUUGAAGCAUUUUCCAUCUUACAAGAUACAACGAAAAAACUUAAACAUUAGAUACACUACUCGUCUACACCACAAACAACAAUUUACAUGCUUCAUCAUUUCCAACUUAGAAUUCUCCCAAUACCCAUCUAACCACGCAAGUUUGAAUCCCACUGUAUAAUACUCUUAUGUUGAAGCCUAACUCGGAGAAAAGAAGUGCUAGGUUAAGUUAUUGGACUUCAUAUUCUACAUCCCCUUAAGAAUAUUUACUUCACCUUAUCACUAAUGUCAAACACACUCAAGUUGAGUACUAAUCAUACAACACAUUGGUUUGUAUUUUCAACAAUCACAACAUUCAAGCCUAAUCGUUACUACACCCACUACAUGGAUCUCCCCACUAAGACCAAAAAUUUUUGAUCACUUUCGCAAAUAUUUUCACCACCUUUCUCCUUCUUAGCUAUUCCACACAACAAUAGUUCAUCUCCUUCUUUUUCCUUUCACCUAUAACCUUAGUUCGAGAAUCACAUCAAUUUUUUUUUCACCUUCAAAUAUAACAAAUCGUUUCAGCUCGUCAAUGUGUACACACUGCUGCAGCAUUGUUCCAUUUCUUUCACCAAGAUCUUUCAAACAGUUCCUCUAUCUCUGCCCGUGUUGCCUCUUUGUCUUCAUCAUCACCAUCGAAAUCAAAGAUGCUAUCACCGCCAUCCACUUCUUUCUAGCUCGGCCCCUGAACCUGCAGUCUGCACAUAAUAAUCCUAAAACGAUUUCUCCUUCAAGAUUGACAUCACAAUAAAAUCUGCGUUGUUGUGGAACACUUAGUAAUCAGGGUGAGAAAGGCAGUAAUGAUGAACUACCAGCUGAUAUGAAGGCAUAAAGCCUUCCAUGACACUUUCUUCUAAUUGAUAAUCAUAACUAAUUGGAAUAUGUCGCGUAGCAAGUACUCUUGCUUCGCUAGUUGAUGCUGAAGACUAGUCCGGUUCUAGUUUUUCCAUAUGCAAGCGUAACUCCAAACUCUUUCAUCGUUAAAGUUUUUCUGCAACAAGGCAAUGAAACACUAUUCUGAUCACCAGUUUGUAAAUAUUUGCAAACUUCUAGUGGCAUAAAAAUGUCAACUUGUUCUCUCCUGGAAUGCCAAUGAACGAUGGGGAAUAAAUCCAACAAAGACCCUUUGUAAUGUUUUGGACCUUGAUAUCAAUUGUAUGCACACUCCCAAAUUUACAGUCACCAAAAAAAAAAAAAAAGAAAUAUACGAGGACUGGAACGUUCAUGGAGGAUGCAACUGAGCAGUCCUGUUACCUUGACAUUAGGAAGUGAAUCCAAUGUCAACAACCUCUGUUCACUUUUAUUACUGAACCAGCUUGGAACCUCAUUUCCUCUACUUACAUUAAUAAACGAAUAGGAGCCAAACAUAUACCCCCGUAACAAACCUCUUCUCAUACGCUGCUGUUUUCACAUUAGGACCAUCCAUAAUUUUCUUGUUAUAGAAAUUGCUAUUAGGGAACAAACUUAUUUUCAGGUGCAAUUCGAUAUUGAACAUUAAGAAGGGGCUUCUUGUGUCCUAGAAUUACUAGCCUCUCUAAUAAGCUCCUCACGAGCUCAGCCUUCUCGCAGAUCUUUCUCUGAACCAUAGCAGGCAAUUAUUUCUCAUCUCCGAUGAGUAUAACAUGGCGGAGAUCAGGGAGUUGUAACGGAAUAGUGGAUUAACAUUCUUUCAGCUGAGCAGCUUCAUCAAUCACCACCAUCUCCAGCGGUGUCAUUCCUUCCGUGUGCAACUUUAUCAAGCUAGAAGUCGUGCAGAAAGUCAAGCAUGCGCCUUUCAGACAAAAGACUCCGAAUUUGGUAGUCCUCAAUGAAAUUCGGACUAGAGAUACUCUCGUUAAGAAGUUUCAACACUUUUAUGCAUUCUGUUUUACUUGCACGAAUAUUUGAAAGUCUCGUCUUACUCCUAGUAACAAAUCCUGGAAGAAAUUCUCUUAAUCCUUCAGAAGGUUCAACAGUCGCAAACAAUUUACAAAUAGUUUGUAGUCUCUCGAGUAGUCUGAUCAUUUCCUUAGCUAUUUCGAGCGAAAUGACAGAAGUAGGCAGAUGCGUGUACAUGCUCGUUAGGCAAAAUUUUAACUGGUAGCGAUCCAUUUGAAUCGUUUGUUGACAAACUCAUCAAAUGUACACACAACGGCUUCUUUGCUGCUCGCCUCCCCUUCGUUCUUGACCUAGUUCACAUUGUCAGCUGCUCUUGAGUUUUUUUUUUUUCAUAACUUACUCUUCUUAUUUUCGUCGAGUCCUAGAUCAUUGCCCGUACUAGAUUUUGACUAGUAUCGUUUCUCUUUUUUUUUUUCCGCUUCUUCAUCAUCUGUAUCCUCAUUAUCAUCACUGUCAUUGUCCUUCUUCUUCUGUUUUUCUGAGUACUUGCGAUAUUCCUCUUCGGGAUCCUUGAGCAAACAUAUCAUGGAUAGCAUACCGAUUCUCCACCCAUUAUUCGGAGACAAGCAACUUGCAAGAACAUCAACACGGUUCAUAAGAAAUACAUCAAACAGAUCUUCAUGAUCAUUGAUCUUCAUUUUCUCCCAGUUACCAAACAAGACAAUAUCUCCUAAACCAUACUUGUCGUAUUGCAGAUGACUUUGAGCAUUCUGCAUCAGCCUCUUGGUAAUUCCCAACACAGCAAUGUUCGUGGGAGCACAAGUCAAAGUUAUGCAUCUCGUAUUUAACAAGACGUAAAGCAAAGAGACAACUAUUUUCGUCUUUCCAGUUCCCGGAGGACCCCAAAUUAGUUUAACCAUAUUCCGGUGAGCACAUUCUCUUGUAGCAAUGUCAGCUGAAGAGUCGAAUUGAUUCUAGAGCAUUCAAUGGCGUGACCUUGCACAUCUUACAACUGCAGACCACACUAGCAUCAAACAGGUGCUGAUUUCUUGUUGUUAUGAUUAUUUUACUACCUCGAUAAAACCAUUCUCGCAUCCCAAGAACAUUUAACUGAUCUCUAUCUUCCACGUCAUCGAGAACAAGAAGGAUUAUUCUGCACCGGAUGGCCUCUUGAAUCUAGAUGACUCCGUCAACAUUGUAUAUAUUUUCAACCUUCUUCCCUAGAACAUUUGAAAGAAGUUGUCUUGGCUAGUGUAGAUUUACCUAUCCCCCCAUACCAUAUAUAGCCAUAAUAUCAACACUAGUUGAUCCAUCCUGCAAUCACAGAUUUAUGUCUUUAACUCGAGAAUCUAUUCCAACAGGGUGGAGAGCAACACUUAAAAACUACACGAUUUAGGUUUCCUGUAACCACCUUCACAAUCUCUUGAAUAAACCUUGACUCACACCCAUCAGAUUUUUUUCCCGUAAGACCAUUCCUCCCAAAUCAUCAAUUAUUGCUACCACAUUAGUCUAUCACUAUAAAAUGGCGAACCAUCCCUCAAACAAUGGUUAAACAACUGAAACUAUUUAUUUACACAAAAGUCACCCUCACUCUGACUUCUAACCUUGUGACUAUCACCAACUCCUUGGCCAAUCUUACUACCAAUAGGUCAUGACACUUUAACAAAUACUACUACUCGGGUGGAAAUACAGUUCCAACAUUCUGCUACACAUCAUUACCCUUAUGCAUGAGAUCUGCAGUAUGAAUUUUGGAAGGGGACUGAAUAGACUUUGUACCUCAGGCUGAAAAGCACGAUUUCAUCAGAAUAAAGGCAUACACUCAAAUCAAUACAACUUGAAGCACUAAUGGACUCCUCUCAAGUCCUCGUGCUGUCUCAUAAAUUUAUGGACAACUCAAUCCGAGAGAACCACAUCGUGGUGGGGGCUAGACACUUAGACUUGCAUCGCCUCGACAAUGAGGCUUGACCCAUUAAAUUAGAACAAGAAAGGAAUUUGGAUAACUUUCUUAUGGAGAACGCUAUAGCACCAACUAGAGUAUAAAAGAAUAAGAAAGAACUCCUAAAUGCCCAGUAGCCUCCUUAUUAUAAGUGUGGUACACAACACGCCCAUAAGCAAGACUCUACUAGACAUGAUUUUGCAGACACCCUGGGACCAUGAACUGUUCUCUGAUACAAAGUUUGUCACGACCCGAACCAAGGCUCUGGCCGUGACGAGCAUCCCGAACCAUGAAGGCCCAUACACCCUUCUAACUUGAAAUCAUAUACACCAUUCAUACACAAUUUAAGGAAAAUGCAGAAAAGUAUAACGAAAUGGAAUCAUGGUCAGAAUUUUGAUAUACAUUCAAUAAUGGAAAAUGAAACCCAAAGCCAUCUAACAACAUCUGGAAAUCGUCUGCGAAAAUCUCUAUUACAUGAUCAAAUAACAACUAUCUGAAUUCUGGGACAAGGCCCCCAGUAGACCAAAACCAAUCUCAUGAAAAAUUUCUGAAAGUGAAUAGUCAUUCUGAAAUAUAGAAGGCUCACCAACUGAACUUUGCACCUCUGUUUGGGAAUUUUACUGCUUAUCAGGACCCCUAAACUGUGCCUUAGAACCUGGAAGGUAGGGGAGAGGGGUCAAUACAAUUGUAUUGGUACGCAGAGCAAUCCAAAAUAAUGAAUUUAUACAUAUAUAACAUAGGUGAGAGCAAGUCAUAAAAACAUUAUGCAUGAAAUAGUUUAAAAUACAUGGGCCAUGUCAAAAGAUAUUAAAACAAUCUUGUUAAUGCAAUUUCAUUCUUUGUAUUACUUCUGAGCUAGGUGGUACACCCUAUAUGUCUGAAAGUUUCCCACGGCAAUAUGGGAUCCGUCAUUAACUCGACGGCCAAGCCCCCAACCCAAGUUUGCCGCAAGGGUUGAAGUAUCUGAAUCUGAUACGCCCCAGGGCACUAGGUCAGCGUAUAAUAAUAUACCCGUAUCGGCAAAACACGGUUUCAGACAAUGAAUCAUAUGACUCUGCCUUCUUCGGGUAACCACCUAACUCUCUUAGUGC